AUGGAAGAUUUUCAUAGAUCAAAAUCUAUUUCAAAUGGCCACCAAAUGAUGCAGCUAGAAAACUACUAUGGACCACCAAAACCUUAUGAUCUAAGAAGCUAUAGUUCUUCCUAUGUACAAACUUCUAAGGAUUUGAAGUUGAAGAAAGGUAAAAGCUUUUCAUCAGGUUCAUCUUUUUCUAAGUCUUUGAGUUUUGUGAAUGAUCCUGAACUCCAGAGAAAGAAGAGAGUUGCUAGCUAUAAGAUGUAUUCUGUUGAAGGGAAAGUCAGAGGCUCUUUUAGAAAGAGUUUUAGAUGGCUUAAGAAUAAGUACUCAGAAGUUGUUUAUGGUUGGUAG